UGCUUUCAAAACUGCCGUGCUCGAGUGCGGGAGAGGCGAGUGGAAUUGCAGGUGUAGCGGUGAAAUGCGUAGAUAUCUGCAGGAACACCCGUGGCGAAGGCGGCUCGCUGGACCGCAACUGACGCUGAGGAACGAAAGCUAGGGGAGCAAACAGGAUUAGAUACCCUGGUAGUCCUAGCCCUAAACCAUCAGGACUUGGGGUGGCUCGCGUAGGCGGGUCGUCCCGGAGCUAACGCGUUAAGUCCUGCGCCUGGGGAGUACGGUCGCAAGACUGAAACUCAAAGGAAUUGACGGGGGCCCGCACAAGCGGUGGAACAUGUGGUUCAAUUCGACGCAACGCGAAGAACCUUACCUGGGCUUGAACCGCUGGUGACCAACGGUAGAAAUAUCGUCUUCUCGCAAGAGACACCAGUAGAGGUGCUGCAUGGCUGUCGUCAGCUCGUGCCGUGAGGUGUUGGGUUAAGUCCCGCAACGAGCGCAACCCUUACUCGUAGUUGCCACCCGCAAGGGGGAACUCUACGAGGACUGCUCCGGAUAACGGAGAGGAAGGUGGGGAUGACGUCAAGUCAGCACGGCCUUUAUGUCCAGAGCUACACACGUGUUACAAUGCCCGGUACAGACUGUCGCGAACCCGCGAGGGGGAGCUAAUCGGAAAAAACCGCGCUCAGUUCGGAUUGCAGUCUGCAACUCGACUGCAUGAAGCUGGAAUCGCUAGUAAUGGCGUAUCAGAUCGACGCCGUGAAUACGUUCCCGGGCCUUGUACACACCGCCCGUGAAUCACUA
rnacentral:rRNA from 1 species